AUUGAACGCUGGCGGCAUGCCUUACACAUGCAAGUCGAACGGUAACAGGUCUUCGGAUGCUGACGAGUGGCGAACGGGUGAGUAAUACAUCGGAACGUGCCCGAGAGUGGGGGAUAACGAGGCGAAAGCUUUGCUAAUACCGCGUACGAUCUCAGGAUGAAAGCAGGGGACCGCAAGGCCUUGCGCUCACGGAGCGGCCGAUGGCAGAUUAGGUAGUUGGUGGGAUAAAAGCUUACCAAGCCGACGAUCUGUAGCUGGUCUGAGAGGACAACCAGCCACACUGGGACUGAGACACGGCCCAGACUCCUACGGGAGGCAGCAGUGGGGAAUUUUGGACAAUGGGCGUAAGCCUGAUCCAGCCAUGCCGCGUGCAGGAUGAAGGCCUUCGGGUUGUAAACUGCUUUUGUACGGAACGAAAAGACUCCUUCUAAUAAAGGGGGUCCAUGACGGUACCGUAAGAAUAAGCACCGGCUAACUACGUGCCAGCAGCCGCCGUAAGAC
rnacentral:rRNA from 1 species